rnacentral:rRNA from 1 species
UGAACGCUGGCGGCAGGCCUAACACAUGCAAGUCGAGCGGUAACAGAAAUUAGCUUGCUAAUUUGCUGACGAGCGGCGGACGGGUGAGUAAUGCCUGGGAAUAUGCCUUGAUGUGGGGGAUAACUAUUGGAAACGAUAGCUAAUACCGCAUAAUGUCUUCGGACCAAAGAGGGGGAUCUUCGGACCUCUCGCGUCAAGAUUAGCCCAGGUGAGAUUAGCUAGUUGGUGGGGUAAGAGCUCACCAAGGCGACGAUCUCUAGCUGGUCUGAGAGGAUGAUCAGCCACACUGGAACUGAGACACGGUCCAGACUCCUACGGGAGGCAGCAGUGGGGAAUAUUGCACAAUGGGCGAAAGCCUGAUGCAGCCAUGCCGCGUGUAUGAAGAAGGCCUUCGGGUUGUAAAGUACUUUCAGUCGUGAGGAAGGGUGUGUAGUUAAUAGCUGCACAUCUUGACGUUAGCGACAGAAGAAGCACCGGCUAACUCCGUGCCAGCAGCCGCGGUAAUACGGAGGGUGCGAGCGUUAAUCGGAAUUACUGGGCGUAAAGCGCAUGCAGGUGGUUCAUUAAGUCAGAUGUGAAAGCCCGGGGCUCAACCUCGGAACCGCAUUUGAAACUGGUGAACUAGAGUGCUGUAGAGGGGGGUAGAAUUUCAGGUGUAGCG